CGGUAAUUCCAGCUCCAAUAGCGUAUACUAAAGUUGUUGCAGUUAAAAAGCUCGUAGUUGGAUUUCUGCGGGGACGGAGCGGCCGGACGCAACUUGCGUCUCGAGCUAGCGCUUUCCCCGCAUCCUGCCGCGAACCGUGCUACCAUUAGCUUGGUGGCGCUGGGGAUCGGCUCGAUUACUUUGAGAAAAAUAGAGUGUUCAAAGCAGGCCACACGCCUUGAAUAAGUUAGCAUGGAAUAAUGACUAAGGACUUCGGUUCUAUUUUGUUGGUGUUCGGGACUGAAGUAAUGAUUGAUAGGGACAGUUGGGGCGGUCUGUAUUCCAAAGCGAGAGGUGAAAUUCUUAGACCUUCGGAAGACAAACAGCUGCGAAAGCGUUCCGCAAGGAUGUUCCCUUUGAUCAAGAACGAAAGUUGGGGGAUCGAAGACGAUCAGAUACCGUCGUAGUCUCAACUAUAAACUAUACCAGCUAGGGAUCGGUCAACGUUUAAUCAUUCGACUUGAUCGGCACCUUAUGAGAAAUCAAAGCAUCUGGGUUCCGGGGGGAGUAUGGUCGCAAGGCUGAAACUUAAAGGAAUUGACGGAAGGGCACCACCAGCCGUGGAGCCUGUGGCUUAAUUUGACUCAACACGGGAAAACUUACCAGGUGCAGACAUAGUAAGGAUUGACAGAUUGAUAGCUCUUUCUUGAUUCUGUGGGUGGUGGUGCAUGGCCGUUCUUAGUUGGUGGAGUGAUUUGUCUGGUUAAUUCCGUUAACGAACGAGACCCCAGCCUGCUAAAUAGCGCGGCUGAGCUUUGCUCGGUGCGAGCUUCUUAGAGGGACUAUGAUGCGCGAUAGCACAUGGAAGUUUGGGGCAAUAACAGGUCUGUGAUGCCCUUAGAUGUUCUGGGCCGCACACGGGCUACACUGGCGCCUGCAACGAGCAUAUCAGCUGGCCCGAGAGGGUCUUGGCUAAUCUUUUGAACCGGCGCCGUGCUUGGGAUUGACCAUUGCAAUUGUUGGUCAUGCAACGAGGAAUGCCUUGUAAACGCGAGUCAUCAGCUCGCAUUGAAUACGUCCCUGCCCUUUGUACACACCGCCCGUCGCUCCUACCGAUGAAUGUUCCGAUGAAAUUUUCGGAGAGCGCCAGAGAACGGGGCUCUGCCUUGCAGAUCUGGAGGCUCAAAGUCACUUAAAUCUGAACAUUUCGAGGAAGGAGAAGUCGUAACAAGGUAACC
rnacentral:rRNA from 1 species